CUCGGAUACUCACGCACGCAGAGGCAGGCCAGCAGCUUGGCUCCGGUCUCCGGUACCGGGCAGACCGGAAACAGCGGCUUCAGGAGGUAAUCGGGGAUCCCUUUAAGAAUCGUCUCGUGAACACGUGGAGGCUCAGAGCUGCAGGACUAUUCAGUUUCUGUGACACACCCUGCAGGUCUGGUUCUGAUGCUCCUGAUGUGGACCCGUCCACCGACACACGUCCAGACAGAUCAUUUCCUGUCCAGACGAGGAGGACACCUUCAGGAUUUAUUCUCAAAAUUCAGCCCAAAGCUGGACUUUUCUAUAUGAACCAAAACCUGAAGAAUGCAGGACUUUAUUCAUGUUGGACCACAUCAGAAAUCCACCUUAAUCCAUGUCUGCGGUCCUGUGGGUCCAGAUGUGUCCCAGAGCAGGGUUCACUCAGGACACGGUGCGUGUGUGUCUCUGUUAAAAACAAACCGUGACAUUAAAGGACCUGUGGCAUUGA